AGGACGAACGCUGGCGGCGUGCUUAACGCAUGCAAGUCGAGCGGUAAGGCCUUUCGGGGUACACGAGCGGCGAACGGGUGAGUAACACGUGGGUGAUCUGCCCUGCACUCUGGGAUAAGCCUGGGAAACUGGGUCUAAUACCGGAUAUGACCUGCUCUCGCAUGGGGGUGGGUGGAAAGAUUUAUCGGUGCAGGAUGGGCCCGCGGCCUAUCAGCUUGUUGGUGGGGUAAUGGCCUACCAAGGCGACG
rnacentral:rRNA from 1 species